ensembl:lncRNA
AUACGAAGACAUCAAUUCCUAUUGAGGUAAGCAGUGACUGGGAUGCUUAUGUUAGUACAUUGGACAGCUCCCAGAAACUGCCUGCUUCUAACAGGAGUUACCACUUUCUUCCUCCAAAACCCAACAACAACCACCACCACCCUCUUGCACUUCAAAUUUAAUUUCAGUAUCACCUUUCUAGAGGAUCUAAACUGGCAGUUGCUAAGAGUGUCCUGAAUACCUGACUGUGAACUUCUUCAAGACAACAAUAAUAAAAUGUUGAGACUUCCUUGGUAGCCCA